CUUAUCAAGAGAGACGGAGGGAACAGGCCCUGUGAUGUCCGGCAACCUGCCAAGUUGGCAAGGUGCUAAUUCCUGCGGGUAAACCGAAAGAUGAGG
rnacentral:ncRNA from 1 species